ensembl:lncRNA
GAUAAUGAAUGCAGAUUGUAUCUGUUUAACUGAAACCUGGCUAAAAGUUGAAGACCAAGUACAGAUUCCAGGAUUUGUUUUUAAGAACAAUCCAAGAGCUGAAUGUUAUGACAACAGUACUCCACUUUUCACUGAUUUGUUUGUUGAAAUUGUGCAAACGUAUUAGUUACCACCAAGCAGUCCUUAUUUCACUGAGGUAAUAAUUCAUAUGUGUGACGUACUGAAAUCAGUAUAACCGCAUUAUCUUUUCUUUUCUGUGCCCUUACUAUGCAAUGUUCAUCCUGAGCUUCCAAUUGGCAUAGAACAUACCGUCUCAAGUUGUACACUUGUUCUGCAGUUGUAAGACUGUCUAUCUAAAUGAAUAAUUCUUAUAACGAUCCAUCAGUUAAAUCAUCAGUUGAAUCUGUACAGAUGUUCCAUGUUAUCAAUGAAGUAAUAUCUGAAGGUAAUCCAUUUUAUCUAUGCAACACACUGAAAUGAGAAUUGUAUCACUGUAUUUUCUGUUCUGUUUUUGUGUCCAUACCAUGUGAGCACUAUCCUGAGAUUCCAAGAUGGUCAGCGUCCGGUCGAUCCAGCCUCGAAUUCAAACAAGUGAUCAUCAUUCAAAAUCCUACAUCUCCCAUAAUUGCUCUUCUUUCUUGAGCUAGUAAGCUUCAUCCAGCCAAGUCAUAUUCUAAGCCAUCCAAACAAUAAUGGAUGCUUCCAAACAUCAUAGGAAGCAUCCACAAAGACUGCCUGCAUCCAUCAAUUUGUCUCCUGAUAUCACAAAUAAGUAAAUAGAACAACACAAAUUGUAAGUUGAGGUUUGUGCAUCAAAUCUCAAUAUCUACUGUCCACUACUCUCAAAAGAUUUCUGCAAUAUGCUACACUUCAAACUUCCCUCUCCAUUAUAUGAUUCUCCGCUCCAGAUCUGUUUUUAUAAAACGGCACAAAACCGAUAAGAAGGUUUGUGCAUCAAAACCCAAUAUCUACUGUCCAAUCUACUCUCAAAACAUUUCUGCAAUGCGCUACAUGUGAAACUUCCUCCUCCAUUACAUGGUUCUCUGUGCCAUGAACCGUUUUUAUGAAGAGGCACACAACCGAUUAAAAAGGUACAAUUAACUGCAUGUCUGCAAAGAUUGAACUGACUUUCUCGAAGCACUGUUUCACCUGUUAAUAUAUUUUCAGGUUUGUGCAUUAAAGCUCAAUCUCUAUGGUCCACUACUCUUAAAAGAUUUCUGCAAUGUGCUACAUGUGAAACUUCCUCAUCCUAUAGUUGAUUCUCUAUGCCAUGAACUUUUAUGAAGAGGCACACAACCAAUAAAAAGGUUUGUUCAUCAAAACUAAAUAUCUAUUGUCCCCUACUCUCAAAAGAUUUCUGCAAUACGCUACUUCAAACUUCCCUCUCCAUUAUAUGAUUCUCUACACCAUUUACUGUUUCCAUGAAGAGGCACACAACCGAUUAAAAAGAUUUCUGCAAUAUGCUACACUUCAAACUUCCUUCUCCAUUAUAUGAUUCUCUGCUCCAUUAACUAUUUUUAUGAAGCAGCACAAAUCUGUUUAAGAAGGUUUGUGCAUCAAAACUCAAUAUCUACUGUCCACUACUCCCAGAAGAUUUCUGCAAUACACUACACUUCAAACUUCCUUCUCCAUUAUAUGAUUCUCCGCUCCAUGAAUUGUUUUUGAAGCAGCACAAAACCAAAAGAAAGGUUUGUGCAUCAAAACCCAAUAUCUACUGUCCACUACUAUCAAAAGAUUUCUGCAAUACGCUACAUGUGAAACUUCCUCCUUAUGCUUUAUUUGAUUCUCCACUCCAUGAACUGUUUUUAUGAAGCAGCACAAAACCAAUAAAAAGGUUUGUGCAUCAAAACUCAAUAUCUACUGUCCACUACUCCCAAAAGGUUUCUGCAAUGCGCUACACUUCAAACUUCCUUCUCCAUUAUGAUUCUCCAGUCCAUGAACUGUUUUUAUGAAGCACACAACCGAUAAAAAUAAAAGUGAAUACAAAACCAUUGUUCAAAUAUCUUCAGAAAAUGUCCCAGCAAAACUCUAAACUGAUGCAGGCAUUCAAUAGUCAAAGUUAUUAAACAAAUGAAUAACCGCAAAAGUAACACAAUUAUAUAUUAAAUAUUGGAUGGAUGGCUUGUAUUAUAUUAAAGGCUAUGUACAGCAAAUUUAGAUGCCAGCCAAAGGAGGAUGGCUUGCCCCUGCUGAGUCUGGUUCCUCCCAAGGUUUCUCCCUAUACCUCUCUGCUGAUGAUGCUUCUCUUCACUAAUUUAGGGAGUUUUUCCUUGCCACUGUUGCCUUCUGGCUUGCUCACUGGGGUAUUAAGGCACAAUAUUUUCAAUGUAUACUGUGUAAAGUGUUUGUAAAGAAUAAUAAAUACAUGAUGAUUUAGAAUAUA